rnacentral:rRNA from 1 species
UGGGGAAUUUUGGACAAUGGGCGAGAGCCUGAUCCAGCCAUGCCGCGUGAGUGAAGAAGGCCUUCGGGUUGUAAAGCUCUUUUAGUCGGAAAGAAAGAGUUGCAAUGAAUAAUUGUGAUUUAUGACGGUACCGACAGAAAAAGCACCGGCUAACUACGUGCCAGCAGCCGCGGUAAUACGUAGGGUGCGAGCGUUAAUCGGAAUUACUGGGCGUAAAGGGUGCGCAGGCGGUCUUGCAAGUCAGAUGUGAAAGCCCCGGGCUUAACCUGGGAAUUGCGUUUGAAACUACAAGACUAGAGUGCAGCAGAGGGGAGUGGAAUUCCAUGUGUAGCAGUGAAAUGCGUAGAGAUGUGGAAGAACACCGAUGGCGAAGGCAGCUCCCUGGGUUGACACUGACGCUCAUGCACGAAAGCGUGGGGAGCAAACA